rnacentral:rRNA from 1 species
UCGAACUGGAGAGUUUGAUCCUGGCUCAGAGCGAACGCUAGCGGCGGGCUUAACACAUGCAAGUCGAACGCUUCACUUCGGUGAGG